GACGUCCCUCCCCGACACCUCUGACAAGCAAAAGCCCACCCCCUUGGCCAGAAAGCGCCCACGUGACACGCCAAGGGUUUCACAAUCUUUUUAAAUUAAGGCUGUGCAUGCUUUGGAAAUGACUCAGAAGUACUUCAGACAGAACCUGCAUGAAUACAAACCAUCUCUGUCCAUGACGAAUAUAUUGUUCCAGCCAGGGAAACAGAGGAAAACUGCAUGCAGGUUCUUGAAUAAGGUAUAAGUGUAAAAAUGAGUUGAGAUUUUGGUAACUACAUUCAUGCCUUUUUCUUGACUUUGUGUUAUGAAAGUGGUCUGCUGUUGCUCCUGCUCUUCUCCAUUUUCCAACAAGUCUGGAGAUAAAGUGCUGAUUCAAGUACUAACAAGGCUGAUCCUCCUUAGCUUCCCAAGACAAGUCAAAGUUGGUAAAGCACUGCCACCUACUGAGGCAUCAAACAAUAACAAUGAAAGCACCUUCCAUUUAUACCCUAGAGCUGUGUAUGUGUGAUGAGGUCCCAUCUAUAUUAUGGUCCUCUUUCUACCCAGAAAGUUAGACAUGGUCCUUGUCCACUCUUAGU